rnacentral:misc_RNA from 1 species
UUAUCAUUUAGAGGAAGGAGAAGUCGUAACAAGGUUUCCGUAGGUGAACCUGCGGAAGGAUCAUUGUCGAAACCUGCCCAGCAGAGAGACCCGCGAACACGUUACAACACCCGAGGGGGGCGAGGGGCGCGAGCACGUCCCGGACCCUCCUCGCCGGGUGCGUGUGGCCCCGCCCCUCGCCCCCGGGCACCAAACGAACCCCGGCGCGGAAUGCGUCAAGGAAAGACAACGAGACGAUCCCAGCCAUCGAGGCCCCGGAAACGGUGACUCUGCCUCGGUGGUUGCUACGGGAUCGGUAUUGAGUAUUAAGAACGACUCUCGGCAACGGAUAUCUCGGCUCUCGCAUCGAUGAAGAACGUAGCGAAAUGCGAUACUUGGUGUGAAUUGCAGAAUCCCGUGAACCAUCGAGUCUUUGAACGCAAGUUGCGCCCGACGCCAUCAGGUCGAGGGCACGUCUGCCUGGGCGUCACACGCUGUUGCUCCCCCCCUCCCCCAAAAAACCCCUCUCCCGCUCCUGGCGGCGCGAGGGGGGACCGUGGGGGGCGGAAAAUGACCUCCCGUGCGCGCUUCGACACGCGGUUGGUCCAAAAAGCGAGUCCCCUGUCACGUCGUCUUGGCAACAGGUAGUUGAUCAUUCGGUGCCACCGCCACGUGCGUCGGACACGCAUCGGGAUUCCGACAGACCCCCAAUGCGCCCGUCGCGGGUGCCUCCAACGCGACCCCAGGUCAGGCGGGGCUACCCGCUGAGUUUAAGCAUAU